GAUCUAGCAGCCUUAAAACAGUGCCAAAAAUCAAGCUCUGCACAACCCCUCCUGUCAGUCCCAAAUGCAGCAGAAACUACAAGUCAGAAGCAUGGAGGGGGGAGAAGGAGUUAACCCAUUACUGUCGUGCAGUGCCAUGAUCUACACAGGGUCAGGCAGGGGUCCCUGAAAUGAACAUGAAGUGAUCUCCCCAACUGUCCCUUGUCAUGUCACUUCAUGUGCUUUCCAGGCCUUACCAGCAGCAAGAGUAUGGCUCCUGAAAAUCCUGCCACUAGGGUGCCCCAUACCUACUGGGACAGCAGCAUCAAGCUUGUCCAUGAGUCAUGGACAAGGCUGCAUGAGCAGACACCAAUCACCUCCCACCACCACAAGUGAGGGACACAUCCCCUUCCCCUGAAAGGAUUUCUAACACUGUGAGCUACUGAAAAGAGGAAUUUUAAUAAAUAAAGCUUUUACGAGGAGGUGAGCUCCAGACUGGACCAGGGGGAAAUUGCUGGAUGUCGUAUAUCUUGAUUUUUCCAAAGCAUUUGAUACGGUGCCACAUUAAAGACAAGAGCCAGUAUUUCACAUUGAAGAACAGAACUUUGUAAUGCCAAGGCUUGGAUCUCCACGGACACAAACCUAGUUCUCACCAGAGGCCGCACCAUAAUAGGCAGCAUUUAUGUUAUCUGAAGGAAGCUUUAAAGAGCUCUGAAUCCCCGGAGACAAAAGCAGCUAAUGUCAAACACGGACUUUUAUUUUCUAAUUCGUAUGAUCAAUGCUGCUUUAAAAAGCAGACUGUAUAUUAUAAAUAAAUGUGUGUUCUUUCCAUCCUAAGAAAGAUUUGUCUUUACAGCCGUGCAACGCCAAACAAAGCCCAGUUGUAGAAGAUUUACUCUGACCACUAUUUGAGAAUCUCUCCCUAUAAGAACCAUACAUCAUUUACAAGUGCUCCAUGAUGUAGUAGAGGUAACUAUUUUAGAUGGGUCCUGCUAAAUUAAUGAUAGCAGGGCACUCACCAAAGAACAUUGUGCAAUGUGAGACACAACAGAUGUAGAUCACAUGGGGGUUAUACUCCUGGACUAUCUUGGCUGCAUCUUGCUCCACUUCUCUAAAGGAGGAAGUUCAUGCAGACCACAAUCUAAUUUCUUAUCAACAUUCAGUCACGUUGGGACUGAAGAGGCAAAAACUGGCAUCAGAUCACAUAUAAAAAAAAAAAUUAAAAAAGGAGUACUUUAUUUGUCCAUAUACAACACAUUUUGAAGUAGGUCCAAUUUCUUGCUGAAGACACCCAUGUUGUACAUGAAAAAGGUAAUCUUUUAGGUGGUCUGAUGCCAAUUUAGGUAGCUUUAGUCUUGAUGUGUCAAUGCAUUUACACCCGAGGAUAAGGUGAGGAGCUAAUAAUUCACUUAUGUGACCAUAAUUAUGUGGAGUCCCGGUACCGUAUUGCAUCCAGUACCUAGUGUAGAGGUCCCCAAAGUCAGAGUAACUACGUUCAGGUAGGGUUCCUCAGGUGGGACAGCCCCUAGUCGUCUCUCCUUAAGUUUAACUUGUAUAUUAAUAAAUGUAUAUAUUAGUAAUUCUAUCUAUAUUAUAUAGGAAUGUAUAGUACUUACCUUGUUCGGCGUCGCAGGACCUUCGGUCAUGUGGCCAAGCUAGUAACCUCUAUGGUAUGUU